rnacentral:rRNA from 1 species
AGCAGCCGCGGUAAUUCCAGCUCCAAUAGCGUAUAUUAAAGUUGUUGCAGUUAAAAAGCUCGUAGUUGAAUUUCGGGGUUAGUAGAUUGGUCAUGCCAUCGGUAUGCACUGGUCUCACUGAUUCCUCCUUCCUGAUGAGCCGUAAUGCCAUUAAUUUGGUGUUUUGGGGAAUUUGGACUGUUACUUUGAAAAAAUUAGAGUGUUUAAAGCAAGCUAACGCUUGAAUACAUUAGCAUGGAAUAAUGAAAUAGGACGUUCGAUCCUAUUUUGUUGGUUUCUAGGAUUGACGUAAUGAUUAAUAGGGAUAGUUGGGGGCAUUAGUAUUCAAUUGUCAGAGGUGAAAUUCUUGGAUUUAUUGAAGACUAACUACUGCGAAAGCAUUUGCCAAGGAUGUUUUCAUUAAUCAAGAACGAAAGUUAGGGGAUCGAAGACGAUCAGAUACCGUCGUAGUCUUAACCAUAAACUAUGCCGACUAGGGAUCGGAUGAUGUUAAUUUUUUAAUGACUCAUUCGGCGCCUUACG